rnacentral:misc_RNA from 1 species
AGCAGCCGCGGUAAUUCCAGCUCCAAUAGCGUAUAUUAAAGUUGUUGCAGUUAAAAAGCUCGUAGUUGAAUUUCGGGAUUAAUAUGUUGGUCGUGCCUUGGUACGUACUGGCAUUAUUGAUUCCUACCUUCUGAAGAACCUCGAUGUCAUUAAUUUGGUGUCUUGGGGAAUCAGGACCGUUACUUUGAAAAAAUUAGAGUGUUUAAAGCAGGCUCGCGCUUGAAUACAUUAGCAUGGAAUAAUGAAAUAGGACGUUUGAUUCUAUUUUGUUGGUUUCUAGGAUCGACGUAAUGAUUAAUAGGGAUAGUUGGGGGCAUUAGUAUUCAAUUGUCAGAGGUGAAAUUCUUGGAUUUAUUGAAGACUGACUACUGCGAAAGCAUUUGCCAAGGAUGUUUUCAUUAAUCAAGAACGAAAGUUAGGGGAUCGAAGACGAUCAGAUACCGUCGUAGUCUUAACCAUAAACUAUGCCGACUAGGGAUCGGAUGAUGUUAAUUUUUAAUGUACUCAUUCGGCGCCUUAC